UCCCCCCACAAUUUGAGUUAUACAUGCCAACCCAAACACAAUGCAUCUAGUUUAGGGAUAUAUCUAGGCUAGUGGUGGAGUCUUAUUGGCAUGUGAACUUGUCACAAGUGCUGGAAAGUUACACACACAAAAACAGGGUUAGAUAUCUAGUUAGCUAGCAUAGCUAAAACACUCCAAGAGGACCAUUCCCUGUGAACCAAACCUUUUUGUUAUCUUGUAAGAAUCUAAUCCUAGCUAGCAAAAUGGUGGGGAGAGAGAGACACAUAGAGAGAUGGAGAAGGCAGAGGAGGAGGGAGUUGGGGGAAAGUCAUGAAGGGCAUGAUUUGCCUUGGAGAGUCCACACAAAACCCACCAAAGAUAAAAAGUGGCAAGAUUUGUUGAAGGCUUUCUCUAUAGUGGGAUUGUGACACUUGAAAAAGAUGGGUAUUGGUGACAAGAGGUCCCAACUGAAACCUCGCAUAUAAUCUCUGCAGCAAAAGAAGAAGAAGAAGAAGAAGAAGAAGAAGAAGAAGAAGAAAGAAGAGAGAAGCUGAGGAGGGAAAUGAAAGAGACCCACGAGGGUGUUGAUUAUCUCUGCAUGUGAAAGCCACUAAUGCUAUGAACCUGCACCUUCAUCCUUCAUAUCACCGUCCAAAUUUUUUUUUGGUUACAUCACCUUCAUCCUUCAUAUCACCGUCCAAAUUUUGCUGCCAACCAUCCAUUUUCUUCUUCUUUUUAUCUUUGCUUGUCACAGUGUUGCAUUCGGUAUCAGUCUAUCAGAUUGUACCUUGGCUUUGUUUUCAUGUGUUUCGGACCCUUUCUCUAUUUCUACCCAAACAUGAUGC
rnacentral:lncRNA from 1 species